GGUUCGGUGGUGUAGUGGUUAUCACGUCUGUCUCACAUAAUGUCAUGUGCACAGGAGGUCCCCGGUUCGAAACCGGGUCGAACCA